GACGAACCGAGCGAACGUUGUUCGGAAUCACUGGGCUUAAAGGGCGCGUAGGCGGGCUGCCGCGUCCGGGGUGAAAUCCCACGGCUCAACCGUGGAACGGCCCCGGGUACGGGCGGCCUCGAGGAAGGUAGGGGCGUGCGGAACUGUGGGUGGAGCGGUGAAAUGCGUUGAUAUCCACAGGAACUCCGGUGGCGAAGGCGGCACGCUGGACCUUUUCUGACGCUGAGGAGCGAAAGCAUGGGGAGCGAACAGG
rnacentral:rRNA from 1 species